AGAUUUGCUCGGAACUUGAAAAGACUUCUAUUGUAAACGUCACUCACUCUCUAGAUCUUUCACUUGGAAUGGCUACCAAUACAUCUCCAGACCAACAGUUGUAUAUUGCUGCUCGAGAUGGAGAUAUUAAAGGAAUGAAAACUGCCCUCUCUAAUGGGGCAGAUAUCAACUGGAAGAUGCCCCCAAGUAAGUGGACUCCAUUACAUGUAGCAGCUCAUUUUAACAAGAGUAAUGCUGUCCAGUGGUUACUCAGUCAAGGUGCUACUAUUGACUCAA